UACGUAGGGAGCAAGCGUUAUCCGGAAUUACUGGGCGUAAAGGGUGCGUAGGCGGGUUUGCAAGUCAGACGUGAAAUACCGGGGCUCAACUCCGGGGCUGCGUUUGAAACUGCAAAUCUUGAGUGAAGUAGAGGUAGGCGGAAUUCCUAGUGUAGCGGUGAAAUGCGUAGAUAUUAGGAGGAACACCAGUGGCGAAGGCGGCCUACUGGGCUUUAACUGACGCUGAGGCACGAAAGCGUGGGGAGCAAAC
rnacentral:rRNA from 1 species